rnacentral:misc_RNA from 1 species
GAUGAAGAACGUAGUGAAAUGCGAUAAUUAAUGUGAAUUGCAGAAUUCCGUGAAUCAUCGAGUCUUUGAACGCACAUUGCGCCUCAUGGCAUUCCGUGAGGCAUGCCCAUCUCAGCGUUAGAAAAUAUUCUCAAAUUUUAGUUUUGUGCUAAAAUUUGGAUCAUGUCAAAGAAGCUAUUACUAUUAUUGUGAUCGCUCUUUGGAAAUUGAUAGGUCUUUGAGUUGCUACUCAUAGAACGUGAUGAAUCUUUCUUCGUUCUAUUGUAAUUCACUCUGGUAGUCCUAAAACUUGUAUGCCUGUGGCAUAUCUUGUAAUUUGACCUGAGAUUGGGUAGGGAUACCCGCUGAACUUAAGCAUAUCAAUAAGCGGAGGA